rnacentral:lncRNA from 1 species
AGCCUGCAAAGGUUUUCCGUUUGUUUGGGGUUUUUUUGUUUUUGUUCCUGGGCAGCUCACUUGCAUUUCACAAAGGAGGCUUGGUCGUGGCUGCAGUGAUGAGCGUGGCAGGGUCAAAUCCAUGGGACAUCUGGGGCUGGCUCUUCAUGGCAAUGAUAGGUUUGCCAAGCUCUGUUUCAAGCACAAAUUGCUCUGGCUGCGAUUCCCCAACUCAGCACUGACCUUCCAGCUGUUCCCUCCCUUCCUGCUCGGAUGGAGAGGUAUCAAUGUUCAUUACUAACAACCUCGCCGUCAGCCCUUCAAAAUCGUCUUCCUAGCCACGUCCUUCACUUAUUAUUUUUAUUCCUUUUUUUUUUUCAGAGCAUGUGGCCUUUAAAGUGAGAUUUUCUUUGGUUAGCAAUAAUUCAGUUAAUAUUUCCUCUGGGGAUGGCAGGCUGUGGAAAGGGAGCAGUGGCAGAGUGCUGAAAACAGGCUCCCAGGGGAGGUUGCUGGCCUUUUUGGGAAGCCACGUGCCGGGCGGCCGGGCGGGCUCGUUCUGGAUGUGCAGCGAGUGCACUGGGCUCCCGUUCCC